rnacentral:lncRNA from 1 species
GACAAAUCCUAAAUUCAGAAGGAAUGGAGAUCAGACCAUCUGUUCAGAGUUCCAGUGAAACCACUCAGACUUCCACAGAAAACUGCUGCAUGCUGUCACUCCACAGGAACCAUUUUAAGGAAACAGUAGAAAGCAGAGAUACACCAGUCACCAUACCCAGAGUAAGUCCCAUAAGGAGUGGAUAUAACAAAACUGUGGAAUGUUUGCACAGCGAUGCUAGAAAAAAAUCCAAGUAUCUAGUUAAUUGAUAACAAUGUUUAGCCCUGCCCAACACUUUACC